ACGGCUCAGUAACACGUCGGUAACCUGCCCUAUGGUCGAGCAUAACCUCGGGAAACUGAGGGUAAUUCUCGAUAGGAGAUAUGUCCUGGAAUGGUAUUUCUCCCAAACACGUGCCAUAGGAUGGGCCGGCGGCUGAUUAGGCUGUUGGUGGGGUAAUGGCCCACCAAACCUAAGAUCAGUACGGGCCUUGAGAGAGGUAGCCCGGAGAGGGACACUGAGAUACGGGUCCCAGCCCCACGGGGUGCAGCAGGCGCGAAACCUUUCCAAUGCACGAAAGUGUGAGAAGGGGAUACUCAGUGCUUACGAUUAUGUCGUAGGCUUUUGUCGAUCGUAAAUAGAUCGGCGAAUAAGUGGUGGGUAAGACCGGUGCCAGCCGCCGCGGUAACCCCGGCGCCACAAGUGGUCAUCACGAUUAUUGGGCCUAAAGCGUUCGUAGCCGGUUUGGUAAAUCUCUUGUGAAAUUGUUCGGCUUAACCGGACAGCGUGCAGGGGACACUGCCAAGCUCGAGACCGGGAGGCGUAAGAAGUAUGGCAUGGGGACUGGUAAAAUGGGAUAAUCCAUGCUAGACUACCGAUGGCGAAGGCAUCUUACGAGAACGGAUCUGACGGUGAGGAACGAAAGCUAGGGGAGCGAACCGGAUUAGAUACCCGAGUAGUCCUAGCCGUAAACGCUGUGAGCAAGGUGUCGCGUAUCUCAAGUAGAUGCGCGGUGUCGAAAAGAAGUUGCUAAGCUCACCGCCUGGGAAGUACGGUCGCAAGACUGAAACUUUAAGGAAUUGGCGGGGGAGCAC
rnacentral:rRNA from 1 species